rnacentral:rRNA from 1 species
GACGAACGCUGGCGGCGUGCUUAACACAUGCAAGUCGAACGGAAAGGCCCUGCUUUUGUGGGGUGCUCGAGUGGCGAACGGGUGAGUAACACGUGAGUAACCUGCCCUUGACUUUGGGAUAACUUCAGGAAACUGGGGCUAAUACCGGAUAGGAGCUCCUGCUGCAUGGUGGGGGUUGGAAAGUUUCGGCGGUUGGGGAUGGACUCGCGGCUUAUCAGCUUGUUGGUGGGGUAGUGGCUUACCAAGGCUUUGAAGGGUAGCCGGCCUGAGAGGGUGACCGGACACAUUGGGACUGAGAUACGGCCCAGACUCCUACGGGAGGCAGCAGUGGGGAAUAUUGCACAAUGGGCGGAAGCCUGAUGCAGCAACGCCGCGUGCGGGAUGACGGCCUUCGGGUUGUAAACCGCUUUCGCCUGUGACGAAGCGUGAGUGACGGUAAUGGGUAAAGAAGCACCGGCUAACUACGUG